CUCAAAAAACAACAAAUUUCAGUCAACACUCCUGUGACUCAUCUGCAACAAAAAUUAAAUAUAUAUUUUCGGAGCUUUAUAAAACCCAUUGCAUCCAAUGCAAACACAGCUAUUGAAGUUGCUCAGGUAAUGCACAGGUAAUGCAGAUGUUUGACUACCAUAUUAUUUGUUUAAAUUCAUCUAGCAGUGAUAAUAAGCUGUGAGCACGGGGCUUAGCCAUCCCCAGGACUAUUGUCAAACUUUGGACAGCUUGGAAUGUAGAAUGCGGAAAUCGAACCUCUGUGGCAUGUGAGCAUCUGGACUUCAGGUGCUAAUAGAGUGUAAACUUCUGUAAAAAUAAAUACCGGUAAAUUAAUUAGAAUGAUUGAAAAGGAAACGAGGGAAGGG